rnacentral:sRNA from 1 species
CCUGCUCGCUUUCAAUGCUGUUGACUGUACGGGGCCAAAAGCAUAUAAUUAUUGUUAUUUUUCGCUUUUAACUUUUUCUCUGCCAUAACCCCCUCUGGUUUGUGUUUGGUUUGUGCUACGGAGUACAUUUCCCCGGAUUUUCCAUGCAGUACCGGGGUUAAAGCUGGUCCAGCCUAUCAUUCCUUUUUAUGUAGCUUAAGCGUGUGGCGCUAUCAAUUGCCUGCUCUGUAGAAUGGAGCUGCAGGUUGUUCAUCACUACCAGUAUUAUUACUAUUCCUAUUAUCAUUAUUAUAGUAAUUAUUAUUUCUAUCGCCCGAAAAUCCUGUUCAAUAUAUUCCACUAAUGUGUCUUAUUCCCUGGAUUUUCCUCGCCCCCGCCUCCAUACAUCACUUAUUGUUUAUCGAAGUACUAGAUACCUCUGAAUCAGGACGUGGUAUUUCAUUUUUUUUUCCAGGUGAUCAUUUACUGUAACUUGAAUUACUAUUAUACAUUUCUUUCUUGUUUACCCAUACUCGAAAUUUUGUAUAUACUCUCAAAUACGUGGCCGAUGUUUUCAUAUCCAUCUUCAUCUUCUUUCUCCAUCAUCUUCCAUUCCAAUCCCCAAAUUACAAAGUACUGUACAUGUAUUUCUCACGUGCUCUUAUAAGUAACUUAACCGAAUCUCUGACCAAGUAACUAUCUUUUCUAAAUAAAAAUUUGCACAAACUUGUCUCUAGUGGAUAGUUAAUAUACGGAGAAGCCAG